AAUCAACGCUGGCGGCGUGCCUCAGACAUGCAAGUCGAACGCGAAACCUUCCUUCGGGAGGGGAGUAGAGUGGCGCACGGGUGAGUAACACGUAGGUAAUUUGCCUUCGGGUGGGGAAGUAACAGCCGGAAACGGCUGCUAAUACCGCAUAAUGCAGCGGCUCGACAUCGAGACAGUUGUUAAAGCGGGGGAGUUCGCAAGAACCUCGCGCCUGAAGAGAAGCCUGCGGCAGAUUAGCUAGUUGGUAGGUAAUGGCCUACCAAGGCGACGAUCUGUAACCGGCCUGAGAGGGCGGUCGGUCACACUGACACUGACAUACGGGUCAGACU
rnacentral:rRNA from 1 species